CCUACGGGAGGCAGCAGUAGGGAAUCUUUCACAAUGGGCGAAAGCCUGAUGGAGCAACGCCGCGUGCAGGAUGAAGGCCUUCGGGUUGUAAACUGCUUUUAUAAGCGAGAAAUAUGAUGGUAACUUAUGAAUAAGGAUCGGCUAACUACGUGCCAGCAGCCGCGGUCAUACGUAGGAUCCGAGCAUUAUCCGGAGUGACUGGGUGUAAAGAGUUGCGUAGGUGGCAUAAUAAGUAGCUAGGGAAAUCUGGUGGCUCAACCAUUCAGACUAUUAGCUAAACUGUUAAGCUCGAGACCGUUAGGGGUAACUGGAAUUUGUGGUGUAGGAGUGAAAUGCGUAGAUAUUAGAAGGAACACCAAUAGCGUAGGCAGGUUACUGGGACGGUUCUGACACUAAGGCACGAAAGCGUAGGGAGCAAACGGGAUUAGAUACCCCUGUAGUC
rnacentral:rRNA from 1 species